rnacentral:rRNA from 1 species
GGGACGUGUGGCGCACGGGUCGAAGGCAGCCGUUCGUUUUCGUCUCGCGUAGUUCGGAGUUCCCUCGAUCGGGGCCGCCCGCGGCGGGUGCCAGGCCCAUUCGGUGCGGACGGCGA